UCAAUAUUUUUGAUAACACCAUCAAAAUUACAUUACAUUACAUUUAACUCACUGGUUUUGUUAAUAUAGUUUGAAAGUCUGUCUGAUGGUGCUUUAUUUAAAUCAAUUACUGUUAAUACCAUGCAUAAUGCGCAAAAUUUAGCUAAUUUAUUGUCCUAAAAUCUGGGGUCAAAAGUCAAAGUCAAAGUCUGCUUUAUUGUCAACGUCUUCACAUGCCGAGACACACAAAGAGAUCAAAAUUACGUUUUCUCUAUCCCACGGUGACAAGACAUAUUACACGAUAGACAUACAAGUAAACGACGCAAUAUAAAAAACAAGAAGUCACAUACAAUAAAUAAUAAGAGUAAUAAUAAAUAAUAAAUAAACAGAUACCACAACAUAUAAGAGCCAGUGUGCAUAUAGACAGUAAAAGUACAGGACGCUACGCAAAACGGGGAAGCGAGUUCAGGAUCCUAACAGCCUGGAGUAUGAAGCUGUUUGAGAGUCUGGUGGUACGGGAGCGCAGGCUUCUGUACCUCUUCCCAGAGGGCAGAAGCUCGAACAAAGAGUGAGCGGGGUGACUCACAUCACUCACAAUCGUGGUCGCCUUGCGGGUGAGAUGGGAGGUGUAAAUGUCUUUCAAGGAGGGGAGCGAAGCACCAAUAAUUUUACCAGCCGUGUUCACUAUGCGCUGCAGGGCCUUCAAGUUGUAGUCAGUGCAGCCGCCACCCCAAACAGCAAUACAGCUGGAGAGGACGCUCUCAAUGGUGCCGCGGUAAAAUGUAGUCAUGACGGCCGGAGGAGCGCACGCUUGCCUGAGUUUCCGCAGGAAGUACAGGCGGCGCUGGGCUUUCUUUGCCAGUGAUGCGGUGUUGGUGGACCAGGAGAGAUCCUCACUGAUGUGCACCCCCAGGAACUUGGCGCUGCUCACUCUCUCCACCACAGCACCGUCGAUGGUCAGCGGCAGGUGUUGGGUGUGACCCUUCCGGAAGUCCACAACAAUCUCCCUGGUCUUGUCGACGUUCAGCAGGAGGUUGUUGUCCCUACAUCACGUGGUCAGAAGGUUGCAGUGCAGUCACGCGUCAGGAGGGUGAAGAGCAGCGGACUGAGCACGCAGCCUUGGGGGGGCCCCCGUGCUCAGCGUGAUGCUGGCGGAGAUUUUGUCGCCAACACGUACUACCUGUGGCCUCUGACAGAGGAAGUCCAGUAGCCAGUUGCAGAGGUAGGUACUGAGGCCCAGCGUGUCAAGUUUGCUGAUGAGGCGUUGUGGCACAAUGGUGUUGAAGGCAGAAGUGAAGUCCACAAACAGCAAUCUCACAUACGAGUCCCUUCUCUCCAGGUGGGUGAGGGCCGAGUGGAGGGCAGAACAGAUGGCAUCCUUAGAGGACCGUUUGGCUCGGUACGCAAACUGGAAGGGGUCAAUGGUGGGGGGAGAACGGAUCGGAUGUGCUCCAUCACAAGCCGCUCAAAGCACUUCAUGAUGAUGGGCGUAAGUGCCACGGGGCGGUAGUCAUUGAAGCAGGACGGAGCGGGUUUCUUCGGCACAGGUACGAUGGUGGCAGCUUUGAAACACGACGGGACGAUGGCCUGCUGCAGGGAAGUGUUAACGAUGUCUGUGAAGACAUCCGUCAGCUCACCAGCGCAGUCCUUCAGCGCUCGACCCGGGAUGUUGUCAGGGCCCGCCGCCUUACGGAUGUUGAUAGCGGCAAGCGCCCUCCUCACGCUGUCAGCGGAGAGGCACAGGGGCAGCUCGUGUGAAGGGGGAGUGGCCUUCAGCGGGCAAGUGCUGUUCUGAGCGUCGAAGCGAGCAAAGAAGCGGUUGAGGUCAUUGAGCAGACGGACGUCGCCUUCACAGCUCUGCGGCGCGGGCUUGUAAUCCGUGAUGGUCUGAAUGCCCUGCCAAAGGCUCCGUGCGUCCCUGCUGUCCUUGAAGGACAUUAUGCGCAUUAUGCAUGGGUACAACAAUCUUUGAAGAAAAACCCCUCAAAAUAAAACUUGAAAUUAC